rnacentral:rRNA from 1 species
CCUCCUGGAAAGUCCUCGUGUUGCACCACU